UAUGGCUAAACCUGAAUCCAUACCACCUAACAUAAGAGAAAGUACAAGGUUCUAUCCUUACUUUAAGGAUUGUGUCGGAGCUAUAGAUGGCACGCAUAUUCCUGCAACGGUAGUUGGACGUGAGGUAAGCAGAUAUCGAAAUCGCCAUGGGAAGAUAUCACAAAAUGUAUUAGCAGCUUGUAACUUUGAUUUACAGUUCAUAUAUGUGAUUAGUGGAUGGGAGGGUUCCGCUCAUGAUUCAAAAGUGUUGAAUGAUGCGAUUUCUAGACGAAAUGGACUCAAAGUGCCACCAGGUAAAUAUUACUUAGGGGACUGCGGAUUCCCAAAUCGACGUCGGUUCCUAGCUCCAUUUCGAGGUACUCGAUAUCACCUCAAAGAUUUUGGUGGUGAAGGAAAUCAUCCUGUCAAUGCAAUUGAGUUAUUCAAUCUUCGCCAUGCUUCCUUGAGGAACGUAAUUGAGAGAAUAUUUGGAAUAUUUAAGUCGCGU